UACGUAGGGGGCAAGCGUUGUCCGGAAUCAUUGGGCGUAAAGCGCGUGUAGGCGGCCCGGUAAGUCCGCUGUGAAAGUCCAGGGCUCAACCCUGGAAUGCCGGUGGAUACUGUCGGGCUCGAGUCCGGAAGAGGCGAGUGGAAUUCCUGGUGUAGCGGUGAAAUGCGCAGAUAUCAGGAGGAACACCGAUGGCGAAGGCAGC
rnacentral:rRNA from 1 species